CUAAUGAAGUGGUUUGUUUUGGUUUGUUUUUUAAUCUGUCUGGCUUCUUACUUGUUUAGGAACUACAACAGAGAGAUCUAGUCCUGGUUGAAACCAGUCAGAGAGAUGAUGAUCCCUAAAGACAGCAGUGAGAUUAAACAGUUCGAGAAAGAUCCCUAUUCUAGCUAGCUACCAGUUUCAGGACCUUUCACAGCAAUAACUUGAUCAAAGCUUCAGCCUUGAAGAAUUGCAUGACCAGGCAGAGAUCCAUCCUCAUAUCUUCACAAGGAAAAAGAGCUUUGGCAUUGAGCUUAUUGGAGUUGGAAAGCUGCUGUAUGUUAACUCUGGAUAGAGGACCAAAAACCCCUCAUAAAUUUACAUGCUGUGGUAUGCUAUAUUUCAGGGGAUCAAGUAGAAACAACCUGCAGAUGACAUCCAGUUAUCCAGAUAACAUCCAGUUCCUGGCAGGACUAUGUCAACAGGCCUCUCGUCUUUCUAAAUCUUUCCAACAGAACAAGAUGAUCCUCUACUGCCAUCCUGGAUAACCCCAGAAAAUCAUGGGUGGUGUAGAAAUGGAUGAAGAUAAGUGAAUAUUGGCACUUGCCAGUUAAUGAACUGGAAUUUUUCUAUCAUCUGAUCAGGCAAAAAUGGAUAAAAGAGAGAAAAUAAAGAGAUUUGUCCAUGGUCACAAA